GCAGAGCAGUCUGCUGGCAAGAGCCUGGACAGGCCCUAGAGAACGAAGAGGACGAAGAUGACAAGCAGCUUUGACUUCCUUCUGUUUUCAUGUUGAGCAGCAGCUGCUGCUAGAGCCUGGUAUGUCUGAGAUGAUUCCCACUCAUCACUGACUCUCUUGGGUGAGAGGAAGCGCCACACUCAUCCCUAGAAGAGUAUGAAGAAAAAGUGGAGUGAUUCAGAAUUGAGAGCAUCAUUCUGUCCGUGGGAGCUCUCUGCUCAAAGGUUAUUGAGAGCCUCCAGGGUGAAGCAAGGCAUGGAAAGAGAUGUGCUUCACCCACUGAGGCCUCUACAAAAGCUGCAAAUAAUUCUUCCUAGAAAGUAACUCCCCAGCAGUGAAAACUUAGUUUAAGGUACAAUGAUGGAUGAAUAUAGGAUCAAAUAUUUAUCUUUAAUUAAACAUAUUCAUGGCCACACAUGCAGGCUGAAAACUCAAAUCACUUUGUAUGCAACAUGUUUAAUGGUGUGUGAUUGUACCAACUCCAUUACAACUGUUCUAUGUAUCAGUCUAUGCAUUCCCCAUGACAAUCCUGGAAGCUAAACCCUGUUUUUCUCUUUUACAGAAGUGGGAACUCUUGCCCGGAGAGAUUAUUUAGCUGGGCCAAGGUCACACAGUACAGAAAAGGCAGAACCAGGUUGUCAAGGACUUUUCCUCCCUUGCUUUUUACAAGAAAGAGACAUACCUUUUCUUUUCUCUUGAGAACAGUGUGCUGCUCUAUGCCCCAGCUGGCCUUGGACCUGACAAUUCUCAGCUUUCUUGGGUUAUAGAUAUGAGCCACUCUUCUCAGUGGAAGCAGUCAUAAUCUUCACUUUCCAAAACUUAACAGUGAGAUUAGACCCCUUCUCACCUUCUCCUAUCUUCCUUCCACCCUUCUCCAGGGCCACCGACCUCACUGAUUUUAUAACACAUGGGUCCUUCUAGUCUUGUUUGCAUGUGUUGCUCCAAAAAUGUACCCAUAAAUACUAUGCACAAUUAUCUUAGAGUUCCAAGUAUGCUACUAAGCAUAGAUUGGUUUUCAGCUUGCUUUUUCUUUCCCCUUCAACACUGAUCUAUAGGUCUUACGUGGUAGAUCAGGGGUAUAGCUCUUGCUUACCUUGCAUGGACAACUGGUUCACCACUAGCAAUGCAACCCCACCCUACCCCCCAAAAAACCCAUAGAAAUAAAAGGCAGAGAUAAAGUAAAUGGAAAGGCCACCUCUAUACACACAGAUCUAAUUCAUUCCUCUUCAGAAGGGUUGACUUUCAGAAUCUCCAGAGCGAAUUUCAACUCCUACACAUGGGCACACUCCCAACUUCCCCUUUCCUCCCUUUCCCUCAGUAGUAGAUGUUGAGAGCUCAAUUUAUGUUUAGCUGUUUGCCUGUGCCCAGGCUGAGUCUCCACCCCUGGUAACCCCCCUCAGUAUUGGACAGAGGAAGAAAAGAAUUGUUUGAAUGUGUGCUCCCAGCACUAGCAAACAUUCAAACCAUUUUAGCCAAAUAUCACAGUCAAGCCAGGCGUAAGCCUGUGCCACAGCAGGACAAGGGGCUACAGGGUCAGAACAAUGGCAAGGUAAAGCUGACUGGAUCAUCGGUGCUUCCUCAAAUUUGGACUCACAAGCCCUUCCCAGGGAUCCGCACCAAUGGCCAGGACCCAGAGGUUAUAACGUCAAGAUUCCCUUUUGGUAGUUCCCUUUGUGGUCCUAUGGAUAAGUCAGCCUGGGGUCAGCUUCAUUGCCUUUCUGGGUGUUUGAUUGCCUUUCUGGAGUCUUUUCCCUCCCAAGUCAGAUGGAGUUGGCUUUGGAACAGCUGAUUCUCUCUUCAGAACCUGCCUUUUUUUUUUUUCUUUACCGGAGACAAUAAGAAAGCUUAUUAGGCUGCCCUGGAAAUUUUGUUUCCAUCGUUGUCUCUUUAACAAUCACUUAUUGUCCCAGUCUUUGAGCCUGCUGGGUUGUCCGUUUCGAAUUAAGUGAAGCAGGAAGGCUAUGCUGUCCUCGUCCCCGCCUGAAUAGAUUGUUUCCCUAUGAUUGAUGUUUAUCCUUGUGCCCCUCUUCAGAAAAGGGGGACAUCAAAUGACAUCGACACGAAGAAGCCAGAAGACCUCGGGACCCGAGGGUACCAAGUACUAGUGUACCUUAGUCCGACAGCACCGGGUCACCUCCCGCAUAAGAUGCCACAAUAGGGGACGCCAAGAGCGGUUGUUAGGAUUAUUACUCACCCUUGGAAGGAAUCACGGUGGUGAAAACUUCAAUAUUCUCAUCACUGCAGCUGUAGAUCUGAUGCAUGGUCUCAGCCCCCUGCCCUGCAGGGUGUCCGGGAGCCCGCGGCCUCUCUCUGGAGCCCUAGUCCCAGGGUCUCCUAAGCCAGUCUGGCUCUGCGAUCAUUGUGCAGGUCCACAAAAGGCAGGCUGCCUGUGCCUCUCAUGACAGUCUCACCGCAGCAACAUUUCCUAAUCCCAUCUGUCUUUUUUUUUUCUUUCUUUCUUUCUUAAAUGAAUCCUAUUAUUGCAAACCUUUGAUUGAACACGGAGCCUUCCGUCUCUCCCUCUCAGCUAGGAUGUACUUAACAUUUUUAUUUUCCAGUGUCUGCCGCAGUGAAUUUGGAAGUCUUUUGUGAAGUGACGAAGUGAAUUCGCCUACUCAGUUAGCGCACAGCUUGGCUGGAGAAUUUCACAGAAGAGGAAAAGAGGAAACGUCAGUUUUGCUAUCAGUGUGCCCGGGUCUCAUUCCAGAAAGGAAGGGCUUUUUCUCCUCCUCCAGGGGAACAGGAUCUUCAUUUGUCAUAUGUUAACUCCGCUCCCUUCAAAGUUUCUAUUUUAAAUAAAAGGACUGUUUUUUCACCACAUAUUUUUCUCAAUCCACUUUGACAACAAGGCUUACAUUUCAGGAGGUGAGAGUUUAGUGUUUCUUUGUACAACCCUACAGGUGUGCAUAGUCACGCAACAGGCAGUGCACACACCAAGGGACCCGUUUAUAGGAUAGUUAUAUUUUAUUAUCUUCUAUAUUGGAAUGUAUUUAUUGCCUUAUCUUUUUAUGUUAUAUAGUCUAUGGGUAUGCUAUAUUUUCCUCAUAUAAUCUUUCCUAAUAUAUACACAAAUAAAUGUCAUGGUAGCUAUACAUUUCAUAAACAUAUAUAAGCAUAUGCAUUUUAUCCAAUCCCACUACUUUUUAUUAUGCUACACAGUUUCACACCAUAAGACUGAUGGAGUGUAAUGAUAUUAACAGUGACAGCUGCCCUAUUAAAUAUUAGUUACAAGUCAUGGAGCUAGCUAUAUGAUAUCAUUGAGUAUCUAUAACUAACCAAUGGCUCUAGCUAUUUAUUAUUUUACCGUGGUAUUCUCAAGAAACUGAAGUAUGAAGACUUUAGCUUCUUUAAUGAUUAAAAUAGCUAAUUUGCACCAAAAUUGGAUUUAAUCUCUAGAUUGACUGAAAAGUUAAUAAACUAGCUCCUC
ensembl:processed_transcript 2610203C22Rik RIKEN cDNA 2610203C22 gene